rnacentral:rRNA from 1 species
UACGAAGGGGGCUAGCGUUGCUCGGAAUCACUGGGCGUAAAGGGUGCGUAGGCGGGGCUUUAAGGCAGGGGUGAAAUCCUGGAGCUCAACUCCAGAACUGCCUUUGAUACUGAAGAUCUUGAGUUCGGGAGAGGUGAGUGGAACUGCGAGUGUAGAGGUGAAAUUCGUAGAUAUUGGGAAGAACACCGGUGGCGAAGGCGGCUAUCUGGACCGACAUUGACGCUGAGGCGCGAAAGCGUGGGGAGCAAACAGG